AGUUAAGGAGGCGCUGUCCUGGCGUCGGAUGGGGACGGGGAACGCGGCGAGGGCGCUGCGACCUCUGCCCACCUGGCCCGGCCGCAGUCUCGGAGUUCCUGUUCCUCACAGGAGCUAAUUAUUUAUGACAGCUGCAUGGUUCCCCUCCCCCAGUUACUCAGUGCUUGGCACUCGGCACCCCUUACUCAGCACUCAGUACCGCACUCGGCCUCAGGGGACCUGGGCAGAGGGAAGCAGGGAGUCUCCCGCGGAAACUCUUGCUCUGCCAAAGUGUGAUGUGAUCUGACUGCUGCUCAGGGCCUGGACAGCAAAUGAGGAAGACUUAUUGCAGAAAUUCAGAGCCUAGUGACCUGGACCAGGGUGGAGGCAGCAGAGGAGGUGAGAGGCGGUCGGUUUCUGAAUGCAUUUUGAAAGGAGGAUUUCCUAUCA
rnacentral:lncRNA from 1 species